CCUGUUCCAGGGGUUCCCAAAGGUGUGGACGGAGUCGGCGAAGACUAUCCACCCUCUUCCUACGGUGGAGUCCGAUCCGUCCCGAGUGUGGGGCGCUUACCUAGGGGUCCCUGUUCGGGCGCCAGAUGCCGGGGUCCAACCCCAGCAGGUCCAGGGGUCCCCAAAGGUGUGGACGGAGUCGGCGAAGAAGGAAUGAAGGACACGGAGGCAGCGUUCAGUUGAUCAGCAUAGUUGGGUUCUCUUGUCAGGGUCUCCAGCCAGGUUCUGUAGCCAUGUUCUCUCGCUAGGUUCUCCAGCCAGGUUCGGUCGCCAGGUUCUAGUCAGGUUCUCUUGCCAUGUUCUAUCCAGGUUCUGUAGCCAGGUUCUGUCUCUAGGUUCUUCAGCCAGGUUCUGUCUCUAGGUUCUGUCUCUAGGUUCUGUGGCCAGUUUCUGUCCAGGAUCUUUUACCAUAUUCUCUCCAGCGAAGUUCUUCUGUCUCUAGGUUCUGUGUAGGUUCUGUGUCUAGGUUCUGUGUCCUGUUGUCUUGUUACAUCUGUAUUUAUACCAGUUGAUUCCAAUCCUAUCAAUCUCUAUUUCAAAGGUUAGGGCGUUUCUUAUCUCCAUUCCAAGGAGUAAAGAUUAUGUAGCUUAAGCAUGAUUAUUCGUAGUUAAAGUGAUUAAUUACCCGCCUGGCACUUAGUUGAGGGGUUUUAUUCCCUCCCUAACUUCAGGGGAAAAUCCCUACCUGGGGAAACAACCUUUCUCAGAGAGGUGACCUUGGCUAAAACACAUAGUGCCAAGAAGGUGAGCAAACAUAUCAAGAACAGUAUGCCAUAUAUGCCAGGUCC